GACGAACGCUGGCGGCGUGCUUAACACAUGCAAGUCGAACGAGAGCGUAGAGACAGCUUGCUUUUUCUACAAUCUAGUGGCAAACGGGUGAGUAACGCGUAAACAACCUGCCCUACGGAUGGGGACAACAGCUGGAAACGGCUGCUAAUACCGAAUACGUUCCGAAAGUCGCAUGACUAUCGGAAGAAAGGAUGGCCUCUAUUUAUAAGCUAUCGCCGGAGGAGGGGUUUGCGUCUGAUUAGCUAGUUGGAGGGGUAACGGCCCACCAAGGCGACGAUCAGUAGCCGGUCUGAGAGGAUGAACGGCCACAUUGGAACUGAGACACGGUCCAGACUCCUACGGGAGGCAGCAGGGGGGAAUCUUCCGCAAUGGGCGAAAGCCUGACGGAGCAACGCCGCGUGAGUGAAGACGGCCUUCGGGUUGUAAAGCUCGGUUAUACGGGACGAAUAAUCUUGUGGUUAAUACCCAUGAGAAGUGACGGUACCGUAAGAGAAAGCCACGGCUAACUACGUG
rnacentral:rRNA from 1 species